rnacentral:rRNA from 1 species
GAACCUACGGGGGGCAGCAGUGGGGGAUAUUGCACAAUGGGGGGAACCCUGAUGCAGCGACGCCGCGUGAGCGAUGGAGUACUUCGGUAUGUAAAGCUCUGUCAGCAGGGAAGAAAAUGACGGUACCUGACCAAGAAGCCCCGGCUAAAUACGUGCCAGCAGCCGCGGUAAUACGUAUGGGGCAAGCGUUAUCCGGAUUUACUGGGUGUAAAGGGAGCGUAGGCGGCAGGGCAAGCCUGAUGUGAAAGCCCGGGGCCCAACCCCGGGACUGCAUUGGGAACGGCCCUGCUGGAGUGCCGGAGGGG